UCAACGCCAUUUCGACGUGAGGUAAAUUACGUUGAAAAUUAGCACGAAAAUCAUCGUUGAAACAACAUAGUAUUUUCGACAUUCUCCGACCGUCGAGAUAACGACUAUCCACCAGGUUGAUUCAACGGUGAAUUUUAGUCGUCUGACGGAAACCGACUAUUUUAACCAACAAUCAACCCGUUUGACGCCCCAUUGCUGUCUGGGUGAGUGAGUGAGUGAGUGUGUGUGUGUAACCCUCUAGGGCAGUAGAGUACUCAGAUAUGGACGAGUGACUAGGUUUGUAUGGAGGGUAAUAAUAAAGUGCCAACACAAUGAUUAACUGCAGCCAUAGGUUACUUUUAAUUUGACUGUAUUCAACAUUGUAAGAAAAAAUUUAAUAGAUUCUCAGUGCAAUCAAGAAUAAUCAACAAUUUUCACAGUUUAGACCAUAACAUUAGGUAAGAAACAACUCUCUUUAAACACCAUUAAAUGUCAAACAAAUGUCCAUAAGAACGAAUAAAAAUAAGAAAAUAAAUUCCUUGGAAAUGUUUAGUUUUCUUUAAGUUCAGUCUUUGUUUCCUUCAGUUUCCUUGGCUCGGUCACUUCAGCAUGCAUUUAUAAAAAGAGUAAUGUCAAGUCAGAGUCAGAAGUCAAAAAGUCAAGGGGUCGUUUGUGGCGCUUCAGAGCGCUUUCACCGUAUAUCAAGUUUUUAGUUUAAUUUAUUCAUGCUAAGGUGCCAAGUUCAUCAAAUGAUGAAGGUAAAGGAAGAACGCUCUCUUCCUCGCCACAUCUCGGUCCACUCCUUUGGGUGAGGAGGUAUGUUCACUAGCUCGCCACCCCUUCGUCAAGGGGAAUUCCAUCCAGAUUCUCCAGAGUCUCCAAGGGUUCAAAAGCCUAACCUAUAUGAAAACAGGCUAUUAGUACACGGGUCUGGAAAUAACACUCUUCAUGGCCAUAUUGGAUAUCAUCAAAAUCCUCAACAUGCUGUUGAAAGGUGGCUUGAAAGGACUGAUAACUCAGUGUCUCUGUAACAGGCCCAUAGUAUCUUUGCCUCACUCAUUGUCUCUCUCUGUCUGUCUCUCUCUCGCUGUCCGUCUCUCUCACUCUCUUUUUUUCUCUCUCUCUCUCUCUCUCUCUCUCUCUCUCUCUCUCUCUCUCUCUCUCUCUCUCUCUCUCUCUCUCUCUCUCUCUCUCCUGUUUAGCAUGAUAAACCAUGAAAUGAAGACAAUUUUAAGAUCUUCCAUAGGGUUAGCUAAGGAGGAUUUAGAUUUGUUAUCUUAAAUGUAUAUUAAAUACCAACUGAUGGUAAAUCACAUGUUUUUUAUGCUACAAUAUUUGCAUAUUUUCAGACACAAGGUCUUCAGGUCUAUUAUACCCUACUUUCUGUCAUAAUCCUGACAAGGAACCUGAUUGAAAGAACAAGAGGUCUAUGGGAUAAUGUUGCAUGUUGUAAAUUACUUUAAACAGAAUCUUGGUUCCAAGUGUUCUCUUGGGAACCAAACUGCAGCAGAACAUGUUCAGUUAUUAAAGAUACGUUCACACCUGUUUAUCAUUUGUAAUGUCUGCUUCUUCUAUGAUUUUAGUCCUUGUAUUUAUUGUGUACAUGUAAGGGACUAUUUUUCUGUUAUAUUUGUUAAUGAAGAAUAAUUGCAAUAAACAACUCAGUGGAUCCAACUGAA